GUGAUCACAAAGAGGUAUUGUGCUGAAGUGCAGGUGCCCAAAAUGGGAAACAUAAUCAUUUCUCUAAAGGACAUGUUGGAAAUAAUGAUGAGAAUACCAAAGGAAAAGGAUGCAGAAUAAAAAAGGAGCUGGUCUACAGCAGAAUUCUGAGGGAAACUAAUGGAUAUAGAAGCAUAUAAAAUAUAUUAUUAUUGUUCAAUAAUAGGGAACAAAGCAAUAGGCACAAGAUCUGCAGAAUCUACAGUCAUCAAAUACUGUUGAUGGAAUACAUUUGUGAGUGAGGAAAAUACAGAAUACAUUAGCAGUAUUUCAAAGAAAUGAAGACAAAACACCCAAAGCAAGCCAUUGUAUAAUCACCUAGCCAUUCAGAGCUGACCUGUAUUGAGAAAUGACAUCAGAUUCCUCCCUGGUAAGGAAAUGAAGAAAGAGAAAGAGGUGUGGAUUAACAAAGUAUCAUUAUAUUGCAGUGCAAUUUUGUUUAAUAAUGGGCUCUCUCACUAACCCUCAUUUAAAUUAAAAUGAUUGAGUAAAUGUUGAACAGUAUUGCAUGCAUGAAUGAUGGGGAGACUGUAAAAGAAAUUAGC